GACGAACGCUGGCGGUGUGCUUAACACAUGCAAGUCGAACGGUAAGGCCCUUUCGGGGGUCCACGAGUGGCGAACGGGUGAGUAACACGUGAGUAACCUGCCCUCAUCUCUGGGAUAACAGUCGGAAACGGUUGCUAAUACUGGAUAUGAGCUUGCAAGGCAUCUUGUGGGUUGGAAAGAUUUUUUUGGUUGGGGAUGGACUCGCGGCCUAUCAGCUUGUUGGUGAGGUAGUGGCUCACCAAAGCUUCGACGGGUAGCCGGCCUGAGAGGGCGACCGGCCACAUUGGGACUGAGGUACGGCCCAAACUCCUACGGGAGGCAGCAGUGGGGAAUAUUGCACAAUGGACGGAAGUCUGAUGCAGCAACGCCGCGUGCGGGAUGACGGCCUUCGGGUUGUAAACCGCUUUCAAUUGUGACGAAGCUUUUUGUGACGGUAGCAGUAGAAGAAGCACCGGCUAACUACGUG
rnacentral:rRNA from 1 species